rnacentral:rRNA from 1 species
UCGAACGAGGCUUUUCCCUUCGGGGGAAAGUUUUAGUGGCGGACGGGAGCCUAACACGUGAGGAACCUGCCUUUGAGAGCGGAAUACCGUCUGGAAACGGACGUUAAUACCGCAUAAUGCAACGAGGCCCCAUGACCUUGUUGCCAAAGAUUUAUCGCUCAAAGAUGGCCUCGCGCCUGAUUAGAUAGUUGGCUUGGGUAAUGGCCCACCAAGUCUGCGAUCAGUAGCCGGACUGAGAGGUCGAACGGCCACAUUGGGACUGAGAUACGGCCCAGACUCCUACGGGAGGCAGCAGUGGGGGAUAUUGCACAAUGGGCGAAAGCCUGAUGCAGCGACGCCGCGUGAGGGAAGACGGUUUUCGGAUUGUAAACCUCUGUCUUCGGGGACGAAACAAGACGGUACCCGAGGAGGAAGCCACGGCUAACUACGUGCCAGCAGCCGCGGUAAUACGUAGGUGGCAAGCGUUGUCCGGAAUUACUGGGUGUAAAGGGAGUGU